rnacentral:rRNA from 1 species
UACGUAGGGGGCAAGCGUUAUUCGGAUUCACUGGGCGUAAAGGGUGCGUAGGCGGGUCUUUAAGUCAGGGGUGAAAUCCUGGAGCUCAACUCCAGAACUGCCUUUGAUACUGAGGAUCUUGAGUUCGGGAGAGGUGAGUGGAACUGCGAGUGUAGAGGUGAAAUUCGUAGAUAUUCGCAAGAACACCAGUGGCGAAGGCGGCUCACUGGCCCGAUACUGACGCUGAUGCGCGAAAGCCAGGGGAGCAAACGGG